rnacentral:rRNA from 1 species
CACGUAGGCGGCGAUUUAAGUCAGAGGUGAAAGCCCGGGGCUCAACCCCGGAACUGCCUUUGAGACUGGAUUGCUUGAAUCCUGGAGAGGUGAGUGGAAUUCCGAGUGUAGAGGUGAAAUUCGUAGACAUUCGGAAGAACACCAGUGGCGAAGGCGGCUCACUGGACAGGUAUUGACGCUGAGGUGCGAAAGCGUGGGGAGCAAACA